UACGUAGGGGGGCUAGCGUUGUCCGGAAUCAUUGGGCGUAAAGAGCGUGUAGGCGGUCCGGUAAGUCCGCUGUGAAAGUCGGGGGCUCAACCCUCGAAUGCCGGUGGAUACUGUCGGGCUAGAGUGCGGAAGAGGCGAGUGGAAUUCCUGGUGUAGCGGUGAAAUGCGCAGAUAUCAGGAGGAACACCAAAGGCGAAGGCAGUGUCCUGGGGAGUACCUGACGCUCAGGUGCGAAAGCCAGGGGAGCGAGCGGG
rnacentral:rRNA from 1 species